UGGGGAAUUUUGGACACUGGGGGAAACCCUGAUCCAGCCAUCCCGCGUGUGCGAUGAAGGCCUUCGGGUUGUAAAGCACUUUUGGCAGGAAAGAAACGUCAUGGGUUAAUACCCCGUGAAACUGACGGUACCUGCAGAAUAAGCACCGGCUAACUACGUGCCAGCAGCCGCGGUAAUACGUAGGGUGCAAGCGGUAAUCGGAAUUACUGGGCGUAAAGCGUGCUCAGGCGGUUCGGAAAGAAAGAUGUGAAAUCCCAGAGCUCAACUUUGGAACUGCAUUUUUAACUACCGGGCUAGAGUGUGUCAGAGGGGGGUGGAAUUCCGCGUGUAGCAGUGAAAUGCGUAGAUAUGCGGAGGAACACCGAUGGCGAAGGCAGACUCCUGGGAUAACUCUGACGCUCAUGCACGAAAGCGUGGGGAGAAAACAGG
rnacentral:rRNA from 1 species